UACGUAGGGUCCGAGCGUUGUCCGGAAUUAUUGGGCGUAAAGGGCUCGUAGGCGGUUUGUCGCGUCGGGAGUGAAAACACCGGGCUUAACUCGGUGCUUGCUUUCGAUACGGGCAGACUGGAGGUAUGCAGGGGAGAACGGAAUUCCUGGUGUAGCGGUGAAAUGCGCAGAUAUCAGGAGGAACACCGGUGGCGAAGGCGGGUCUCUGGGCCGUUACUGACGCUGAGGAGCGAAAGCGUGGGGAGCGAACAGG
rnacentral:rRNA from 1 species